rnacentral:lncRNA from 1 species
ACAGAUUUAAUUUGAUACCUAUGAAUCUCAACAUCAUUUCAUGCAAAAUACUUUUCGACAUUUCUGUCAAUUUUGUUUUCAAAUCAGAAUGUGAAUUUUCUGCAGCAAAUAGUGGAUCUCCCUUUCUGCAAUAGCUAUUCAAGUGUUCAUGCCACUCUGUAUCUUAUAUUUGUGCUUCUGCUCUGCAGUAUAAAUCAAUAUCAGAGCCGAUGUACCAACAAUCAAGUAAUUGAUUGGCUAUGGCGCUAAAAUUAGCCUCUUUUUGUACUAACAGUAAAAUUGUAUCAAAUAGAUAAAAUCGGAGUGAUAAUUGUUAGUCGAAUGUGGUUAAAUUAUUAAUAUUUUGCUUCGAUCUGCUUUAGCAAACUGGAAAUGCAUUGAUUUGACUUACUGCAUGUUUAUGCAUUUUUCGGUUUUUAUGUGGCAUGCGUUUUUAAACUUUUCUUGUAGAUUGGAG